rnacentral:rRNA from 1 species
CCUACGGGUGGCAGCAGUCGAGAACCAUUCACAAUGGGGGAAACCCUGAUGGUGCGACGCCGCGUGGGGGAAUGAAGGUCUUCGGAUUGUAAACUCCUGUUAUGCGGGAGCAAAUUAAAAUGCUCGUACCUCACUAGGAAGAUCCUGCUAACUCUGUGCCAGCAGCCGCGGUAAUACAGAGGUCUCAAGCGUUGUUCGGCAUCACUGGGCGUAAGGCGUGCGUAGGCUGUGUGGUAAGUCGUGUGUGAAAGGCUCGGGCUCAACUCGCGGACGGCACAUGAUACUGCGAGGCUAGAGAGAUGGGGGGGGAGCCGGAAUGCACGGUGUAGCAGUGAAAUGCGUAGAUAUC